AGCGAACGCUGGCGGCAGGCCUAACACAUGCAAGUCGAACGAAGUCUUCGGACUUAGUGGCGGACGGGUGAGUAACACGUGGGAACGUACCUUUUGGUUCGGAACAACUCAGGGAAACUGGGAUUAAUACUGGAUAAGAUCUACGGAUGAAAGAUUUAUCGCCGAAGGAUUAGCCCGCGUAAGAUUAGCUAGUUGGUGAGGUAAUGGCUCACCAAGGCUACGAUCUUUAGCUGGUCUGAGAGGAUGAUCAGCCACACUGGAACUGAGACACGGUCCAGACUCCUACGGGAGGCAGCAGUGAGGAAUAUUGGACAAUGGGCGCAAGCCUGAUCCAGCCAUGCCGCGUGAGUGAUGAAGGCCCUAGGGUUGUAAAACUCUUUUAGUUGGGAAAAUAAUGAUGGUACCAACAGAAAAAGCUCCGGCUAACUUCGUGCCAGCCGCCGCCGUAA
rnacentral:rRNA from 1 species